rnacentral:rRNA from 1 species
GCCUACGGGACGCAGCAGUAGGGAAUUUUCGGCAAUGGGGGGAACCCUGACCGAGCAACGCCGCGUGAACGAAGAAGUUAUUCGUAAUGUAAAGUUAUUUUAUCAGGGAAGAAAGAGGAAUUUGACGGUACCUGAGGAAUAAGCUCCGGCUAACUAAGUGCCAGCAGCCGCGGUAAUACGUAGGGAGCGAGCGUUAUCCGAAAUUAUUGUGCGUAAAGGGUGCGUAGAUGGCAUAGUAAGUCUUUUGUACAAAUG